GAUGAACGCUGGCGGCGUGCCUAAUACAUGCAAGUCGAGCGAAUGGAUUAAGAGCUUGCUCUUAUGAAGUUAGCGGCGGACGGGUGAGUAACACGUGGGUAACCUGCCCAUAAGACUGGGAUAACUCCGGGAAACCGGGGCUAAUACCGGAUAACAUUUUGAACCGCAUGGUUCGAAAUUGAAAGGCGGCUUCCGCUGUCACUUAUGGAUGGACCCGGGUCGCAUUAGCUAGUUGGUGAGGUAACGGCUCACCAAGGCAACGAUGCGGAGCCGACCUGAGAGGGUGAUCGGCCACACUGGGACUGAGACACGGCCCAGACUCCUACGGGAGGCAGCAGUAGGGAAUCUUCCGCAGUGGACGAAAGUCUGACGGAGCAACGCCGCGUGAGUGAUGAAGGCUUUCGGGUCGUAAAACUCUGUUGUUAGGGAAGAACAAGUGCUAGUUGAAUAAGCUGGCACCUUGACGGUACCUAACCAGAAAGCCACGGCUAACUACGUGCCAGCCGCCGCGGUAA
rnacentral:rRNA from 1 species